rnacentral:lncRNA from 1 species
GAAUUACACUUGACAGAGGCAGAGGAAAAUGCCUGCAGUCUGCAGCAUAGGAGGAAAAAAAGCGUUUCUUGUCUUCUAUUGUGCAGUGCCCAUGAAGUAUAGCAUCAAGAAACUAAUGCAAAACUGCAGAGAUCUUUCCGUGAGAUAAUUGAAUAUAAAAUCAUGAUUGCUUUUUACAAAUUUGGAUUCAUCCCAAAUCCAUUGUUCUUCAAAGGCAGGAAAAGUGAUCAGAGAAAAGGUGGACGGUAACAACACUUCACCUUGAGCUGUUAGAAUACCAGCAUUUAGCAUAACUGAUAUUUGUUGCAAUUAAGCCAUGCUACGUUGAGUGCAAAUGGGCAACUACAAUGAGGACCACUGGACUUCUGAAGUUCAAGUUCUAUUCUGUCUGAAGACAAUUUCCCUGCCAGAGGUCAAACUUUAGCACACACAUGCCAACACAGAAGUCAUAGUCCUGCAUUAUACAGUUAAGCUAAUGAUCUCGAGAGGAUAUCGUCCUGGAUAAGGGUGGAGCCUACGCCCAAAAACAAGAUUACCUGAAAGAGAAAAGAAAGGGGGAAAACACACAGAGAUACAGUCGGGGAGGCCACAUGAAGAUGGAGGCAGAGACAGGAGUGAUGAGCCUGCAAGCCAAGGAAUGCCAAGGGCUGCCAGCAGCCAUGAGAAGCUGAGAGACACAGAGAACGAGUCCUCUGCCAGAGCCUCCAGAAGGAACUAACCCUGUCAAUACCUUGAUUUCGGACUUCUGGACUCCAGAACUAUAACCCUCCUUCCUCCACCUCACAAAAACUCACAAGCUGCAACCCUUCUGAUGUCCACUCCCACACAAACCAGCUUCAGGCCUUUUUCAAGUGGAUGCUGUGGGGCACCACCUCCUUGAGGACCAAGGCACUCCAGCUGCCAGGAAUUUGGCUGCUAACCUCACACAGCUGAGCCUUCCAUGAAAAUUGCUCUCUGCCAAAGAGAACUUCCUAGUCCAAGGUCAUGUCUACUCUCCAGAGAAAUGCACUGACCCUGCACUCUACAGGACACUAUGCUCAUUCCGAAUGCUAAGAUGUGACUGGAGUGAUUUGCACCCGGAUGCCUAGACUCGCCAUCUGCUCAAAGACUGCUCAGAAAGCCCUCCCAUGCAUUCCCCUGCUGCAUACCAGCCCACUCUGCCUGCAGCUGCUGUCUGCAGGACUUCAUAUCUAUGCCACACUGUGUAAAAGCUGUGCUUCAAGAAAUCACAAAAACAUUUUCCUGCACCUACUACACAGCCUGAGUGCGGCAUAAGUUGACCUUGCUUGCUAAGAAAUGGGGCAAGAAAUGCUUUUUUGUGUGUGUCAUGUCUGUUUGUUUUUCAAUUAAGAGAGGAAAGCAUUAGGCAGAUGGAAUGUACAUGUGAGGAUGAGGAGACAGAAAACAAGUAGCCCUUUCCAUCAAGAUAGAGGGUUUUCUGGGGUUGCUGGCUAUUGAAUGUCACUCCUGAUUUCUCUUUCCAAGGCACUGUACCACCAGCCUACUGAGAUUGUGUGGGAGC